rnacentral:rRNA from 1 species
UACGGGGGGGGUAAGCGUUGUUCGGAAUUACUGGGCGUAAAGGGCUCGUAGGCGGCCAACUAAGUCGGACGUGAAAUCCCUCAGCUUAACUGGGGAACUGCGUCCGAUACUGGAUGGCUUGGAUUUGGGAGAGGGAUGCGGAAUUCCAGGUGUAGCGGUGAAAUGCGUAGAUAUCGAGAGGAACACCUGCGGCGAAGGCGGGUAGCUGGGCCGACACUGACGCUGAGGCGCGAAAGCCAGGGGAGCGAACGGG